UACGUAGGUGGCAAGCGUUGUCCGGAUUUACUGGGUGUAAAGGGCGUGCAGCCGGGACUGCAAGUCAGAUGUGAAAUCCGCGGGCUUAACCCGCGAACUGCAUUUGAAACUGCGGAUCUUGAGUACCGGAGAGGUUAUCGGAAUUCCUUGUGUAGCGGUGAAAUGCGUAGAUAUAAGGAAGAACACCAGUGGCGAAGGCGGAUAACUGGACGGCAACUGACGGUGAGGCGCGAAAGCGUGGGGAGCAAACAGG
rnacentral:rRNA from 1 species